rnacentral:misc_RNA from 1 species
GGAUACUACUACCUGUUUCGUCAGUUGCGUGGACUUGUGAGUCUACUUUAAAGUCUUACUUUCGAGAUGGCAGAAGCAGCAGGAAAAUCCAAAAGGAUGCAGCCAGCAUGGCAGCCACCUAAAGGAGAUGGUACAGUAACAUUAAAGUUGUACAACAGUUUGACACGCAAAAAGGAGGUGUUUGUGCCGCAGCACGGCAAGCGGGUGUUGUGGUACAGCUGCGGGCCCACGGUGUAUGACGCCUCCCACAUGGGACAUGCACGCUCCUACAUCUCCUUCGACAUCCUGCGACGCGUGCUGACGCAGUACUUCAAAUACGACGUUUUCUACUGCAUGAACGUCACCGACAUCGACGACAAGAUCAUCGUCCGUGCGCGCCAGACUUGGCUGUUACAAAACUACAGCCAGCAGGUGCUGACGGUGCGCCAGGUGCUAGCGGACAUAAAGGAGGCCAUGACGACCUUUGAGGGGAAGCUGAAGGCCGAGACGGACCCCGACAAGCUCGCCAUGUUGGAGAGGAUCAAUGGCCGCCUGCAGGAAGCUGUGCGCCUGGUCGAGCAGCGCGACACUAAACAGGAACAGAGCGACGAGCAGCGACAGGUGCUGCUGGAUGCAGGGCGAGAUGUCCUGGCCGGCUGGUUGGACAAGGAGAUGGGGUCCUCAGUCACUGACAAUGCUAUUUUCUCUGAGCUGCCUCGGCGUUUUGAGGAGGAGUUUCACAAGGACAUGGAGGCGCUUCAGGUCCUGCCGGCAGAUGUCUUAACACGUGUGAGUGAAUACAUCCCAGAAGUGAUUGCCUACGUCCAAAAAAUCAUUGCAAACGGCUACGGAUAUGAGGCCCAAGGUUCUGUGUACUUUGAUACAGCUGCCUUUGACUGUAGCGAAAGCCAUCAUUAUGCCAAGCUAGUACCUGAGGCAUAUGGAGACAAAAAGGCGCUUUCUGAGGGAGAAGGUGAGCUGAGCGUCUCAGAGGAGCGGCUGAAUGAGAAACGCAGUCCCAAUGACUUUGCUCUGUGGAAAGCCUCCAAGCCAGGCGAGCCGUCCUGGGACUCCCCCUGGGGCAAGGGACGCCCAGGCUGGCACAUUGAGUGUUCAGCUAUGGCCAGCUGUAUACUUGGAGAAUCAAUGGACAUUCACUCUGGAGGUUUCGAUUUGAAGUUCCCCCAUCAUGACAAUGAGCUGGCUCAGGCAGAAGCAUUCUAUGAAAAUGACCACUGGGUGCGCUACUUCUUGCACACCGGCCACCUGACUAUAGAUGGUUGCAAGAUGUCCAAAUCUCUGAAAAACUUCAUCACCAUCAAGGAAGCUCUGCAAAAAUAUUCAGCACGCCAGAUCCGCCUGCUCUUCUUGCUGCACGCCUGGAAAGACACACUGGACUACAGCGACAAGACCAUGGAGAUAGCUCUGGAGUACGAGAAAACAAUCAAAGAAUUUUUUCUUACAAUUAAAGAUCUUCUACGCACAACCCCUUCCACAGGGGUUCAGGCUUGGGACAAAUGGAAUCAGGAGGAGAUGACUCUGAAUAACAAGUACCAAGAGAAACGACAGAGGGUGCAUGAGGCACUCUGUGACAACAUUGACACAAGGACAGCCCUGGAUAAUGUACGUGAGCUGGUAACAGCUUCAAAUUCUUACAUAGCACAAGCUCAGCAGCUCAAGCGACGUCCAAACAGAUGUCUCCUUCAAACAAUUGCUCUCUAUAUCAUGGAUCUUUUAAAGGUCUUUGGUGCUAUCCCAACUGACUGCAGCAUUGGCUUCCCACAGGCCAGUGGGCAGACUAUUAAUCUGGAGGAGACACUGAUGCCAUACCUAUCAGCCUUUGCCACAUUUCGUGACCAAGUGCGACAGUCUGCCCGCGAACAGAAAGCAACUGGAAUUUUGAAGCUGUGUGAUGAGGUCCGAGACAGCAUUCUGCCAAAGCUUGGUGUAAGGCUGGAGGAUGUGGAAGGCCGCCCAUCAGCCAUCAAGCUGGUGGACAGUGAGACUCUAAUGCGGGAGCAGGAAGAGAAGAGAAAGCAAGAGGAGGAGAAGCGACUGUUAAAAGAAGCCAAGAAGAGGGAACAAGAGGCUGCUAAGGCUGCAAAAGAUGCACAAAGAAAAAUACCACCAUGGGAGCUGUUCCUCAAUGAGAAAGACAAGUAUUCCAAAUUUGAUGAUAAGGGCAUUCCCACCCAUGAUUCAGAGGGUGCUGAGCUCAAGAAAUCAGCCUUAAAGAAACUGGUCAAACUGUAUGAAGCACAGGAGAAGAAAUACAAAGAAUAUUUGGCCGAGAAGGGGGAAGGAAAAGUAGCCAGUGGUGAUUCCUGAGAACCGAGUGCUUCCAGCAACAACAGUGAUCUGCUCUUCCUUUCUUCUCUAAAUGUGAAGUUGUAUGAUUAGUGUAAUGAUACUCCAAAAACAGUUUUCUGUUACUUUUAUCUAUUGGCAAGUAGCCUCUUAUACUUCCUUACAGUUUCCCUAUUGCUGACAGAUGUGCAAAUUGCUAGUUUAUUUAUGUACGGAUUGCUGGUUUAUAGUUCUGUAAAUUACAGGUUUAUGUGUAUGUAAGCUAUUUUUGUCCUACAGAGUGGUUUCUAGUUUUUAUGCUUACAUAUUUGUUGCCAUCUCAUUUCCUUCUCUCUCUCCUCUCCUGCUUCUGAUUUUUAACUCAUUUUUGUGUUCUUUUGCUCCCUUAUACAUACAUAGUUACGAUAGUUAUGUGAAGGGCAUCUUCCCCCAAAUUUGCACUAAAAGCUUGUGUGCAGAAAAAAUUCUUAAUCCAAGUACAGUUCUGCAACAAGAUGACUAGCAGACAAAAUGCCCCAACAAAAAAUAAGCAUAAGUGAGUAAACAUUGGGAUUGAUUUUAUCCUUAUUCUUCUUGCCUCUUUCAUAUUUCUCAUUCAAACAGGCUUCAUUCCUGACUUUUUGUUUAUCACAUCUGUAUCUGUCUUUUCUCCUUUGUCAUUAUACAUUUGCUGACCUAUUUCAUUGUUUAUGUGAUGCUCAGCAAGGGAUACAAAGGGCAUUUUCUUCACCAGUAUCCUUGCAGCCAUACAGCUGGAUGUUUUACUGACAUGUGUCAAGGACCAAUGUUCUUCAGUUUCAAAGUCUCAUGUUAAAUGAUUCUGCACUCUAUAUAUCAAAAUUCAGUUAAAUUCAAUAUUUUCAUUUAUUUUUGUUGGAUUUUACCUAAGUCCCACAGUUUGUCAUAAUCCAUGUGAAAUAUUUUCUGUAUUUUUCUUGUAGUCAUCGAUCUUACCUAUGUAGAAAGCAUUUCUUUUUGUAAAAGAUUGUCACUGUAGGUCCUAGAGGUCAAAAGAGUUCCUCCAAAAUUUUUUUUAAGGAGGCUCAUUAACCUGGAAUAGGUCACAAGUUCAAAGUCUGUUUAAGUCAAUGUGUGGAAACUCACCCACCUGCAGGUAUUCAGCAGAAAUGUGGAACUGUUUUAUCACAGAAGGUAAAAGGUGGCAGGAGAGGCUUGGGCUCGGGCUUUUAUGAUGAAUCACUUACAUUUACUGCCCCUUACACCACCUACUUGGCUGUAAGACUAUCAUUUUUUUUAGUAAAUGUACUGGUCCUAAAUUGUUUAUACAAUAUUGCUAGCUUAUUUGGUAGAGGGGCUUGUCAGAAGUUUAUGUACUUCUGCUAAAUAAUGUAAUUGCUGUUGGGUUUUUUUUCUUUAAGCUAACAUUCUUGAGCAUGACAUCAACACUCAUUACUCUUAACAUAAAACGAGAAUAGCUUUGCCUCCACAUGUGCUAUUUUCUGUGUGAAAAUUCACCAGGACCAUGUCUCUAUGCUUACUGAGCAUCAAACCACUUAAGGACUUUUGCUUUAUAAAUGCUGAUGUGCCAUUCAUCAUUACUUGUUUUAGUGCAAAGUCUUGACAGUAGUAUAAAGUGUGUGUGAUGCCUAAAGUACAUUUUGUAAUAAUGCUUCCUGUUCUCUAGAAGAGUCAUGUCUCUUGUUAUGCUUAGAAUGGCCAGUCUUCUGUAUUGUUCUCUUUGUAGGUAACAUGUAGUCUUCUUAAUACUGAAUGGUUAGGCACCUGUUUGCUGCAAGCAGUUGGUAAUACUUCAUGCAGUUCAGUUUGUGUGCAAGCUUGGAGCUAAGGUGUUUCUCUUUUAAUGAAAAAAUGUAU